rnacentral:rRNA from 1 species
AUGUGUAUCUGUACACCGUCGCAGGAAGUCUGCGCGUAUCACCAACGCCCUGAAAAGAACUUGUUUGUGCAGACGUGUGGAAUUCACGUAGAAGUAUAUACAUGGGAGGCCAUAUGCGUCUGCAAGCACGCGGCUGCGAGAGUGAUAACGAGACGCCACAUGCGUCCAUCGUCCAGUCACCGCGGCCCGUCAAAUUUUCUCCCCGCAAAGAUGGGCGCAACGUGGAAAAGUAUAGGCGCGCGAUGGACCGUGCAUCGUCACCGCGUUAUCCCCGCGCUGCACCCCGAGCAUGGCAGCUAUAAGUACCGGUGCAAACCAAGCAGCAGCUUCAUCACACAGGCCUCUUGCAAGCUCUCCUUGAGCUAUACAUUACACGAGCGAUCUGCUGUACGUGAGCUAGUGAGCAUGGCGCGGUUUGCUGCGCUCGCCGCGCUUCUGCUCGCCGUGGCGGUGGGCGGCGCCGCCGCGCAGGGCGGGUUCUACACGUACGACGCCUUCAUCGCCGCUGCCAACACCUUCCCGGGCUUCGGAACCACCGGCAGCGCGGACGAUGUCAAGCGCGAGCUCGCCGCCUUCUUCGGCCAGACCUCCCACGAGACCACCGGCGGGACGAGAGGCGCUGCCGACCAGUUCCAGUGGGGCUACUGCUUCAAGGAGGAGAUAAACAAGGCCACCUCUCCACCCUAA